rnacentral:rRNA from 3 species
CCUUGAAAUACCACCCUUUAAUGUUUGAUGUUCUAACGUGGACCCGUGAUCCGGGUUGCGGACAGUGUCUGGUGGGUAGUUUGACUGGGGCGGUCUCCUCCUAAAGAGUAACGGAGGAGCACGAAGGUUGGCUAAUCCUGGUCGGACAUCAGGAGGUUAGUGCAAUGGCAUAAGCCAGCUUGACUGCGAGCGUGACGGCGCGAGCAGGUGCGAAAGCAGGUCAUAGUGAUCCGGUGGUUCUGAAUGGAAGGGCCAUCGCUCAACGGAUAAAAGGUACUCCGGGGAUAACAGGCUGAUACCGCCCAAGAGUUCAUAUCGACGGCGGUGUUUGGCACCUCGAUGUCGGCUCAUCACAUCCUGGGGCUGAAGUAGGUCCCAAGGGUAUGGCUGUUCGCCAUUUAAAGUGGUACGCGAGCUGGGUUUAGAACGUCGUGAGACAGUUCGGUCCCUAUCUGCCGUGGGCGCUGGAGAACUGAGGGGGGCUGCUCCUAGUACGAGAGGACCGGAGUGGACGCAUCACUGGUGUUCGGGUUGUCAUGCCAAUGGCACUGCCCGGUAGCUAAAUGCGGAAGAGAUAAGUGCUGAAAGCAUCUAAGCACGAAACUUGCCCCGAGA